GAUGAAGAACGUAGUAAAAUGCGAUAAGUAAUGUGAAUUGCAGAAUUCAGUGAAUCAUCGAAUCUUUGAACGCACAUUGCGCCCGCCAGUAUUCUGGCGGGCAUGCCGUUCGAGCGUCAUUUCAACCCUCAAGCACAGCUUGGUGUUGGGACUCGCGUUAAUUCGCGUUCCCCAAAUUGAUUGGCGGUCACGUCGAGCUUCCAUAGCGUAGUAGUAAAACCCUCGUUACUGGUAAUCGUCGCGGCCACGCCGUUAAACCCCAACUUCUGAAUGUUGACCUCGGAUCAGGUAGGAAUACCCGCUGAACUUAAGCAUAUCAAUAAGCGGAGGA
rnacentral:misc_RNA from 1 species